rnacentral:rRNA from 1 species
AGCGAACGCUGGCGGCAGGCCUAACACAUGCAAGUCGAACGAACCCUUCGGGGUUAGUGGCGGACGGGUGAGUAACACGUGGGAACGUGCCUUUAGGUUCGGAAUAACUCAGGGAAACUUGUGCUAAUACCGAAUGUGCCCUUCGGGGGAAAGAUUUAUCGCCUUUAGAGCGGCCCGCGUCUGAUUAGCUAGUUGGUGAGGUAAUGGCUCACCAAGGCUACGAUCAGUAGCUGGUCUGAGAGGAUGACCAGCCACAUUGGGACUGAGACACGGCCCAAACUCCUACGGGAGGCAGCAGUGGAGAAUCUUGCGCAAUGGGAGAAAGCCUGACGCAGCCAUGCCGCGUGGACGAUGAAGGUCUUAGGAUUGUAAAAUCCUUUCACCGGUGAAGAUAAUGACUGUAGCCGGAGAAGAAGCCCCGGCUAACUUCGUGCCAGCCGCCGCGGUAAUAC